rnacentral:miRNA from 1 species
CGGCCCCCCCGAUCAUGGAUCCCGGCAGCGGCGGUGGCGGCGGAGGCGGUGGUGGCGG